rfam:Tropilaelaps mercedesae isolate Wuxi-XJTLT scaffold0000022678, whole genome shotgun sequence.
GAAACGGCCCUUUUCAGGGCCACCAAAUUCUACAAGAUUAAACGCUU